rnacentral:lncRNA from 1 species
GUCGGAGGCCGCGGCGGAAGAGGAGGAGAAGAAGAAGAAGAGGCGUAGUGGCCGCGGAGGCGGCGGCGGAGGAGUGGUGUCGCGCGUGUGGAAGGGGAUCUUCGGAGCGGGACAUGACUUGGAGAAGGAGCUUCGGCGCCUCUCCGUGGCGGAGGCCUCCGCCCACGCGCGGAUCAAGCGAAGGGCCCAAGCCACGCGCGCGAUGAGGACGAACCUCGUCGUCGUAUCGAUCGCUCUUGAGGUUUUGCGAUUUGAUUUGAUUUUAGCCGAAUUAGUUUUAAUUAGGUCGCUGGAAUUUAUCAAGUUGAUUUCGAAUUUAGGGUUUGAUGAGGUAGCAAGGUUGCCACUAUGUAUUGAAAUGAGCUUAAUAGUUGGUAGUUGUUUGAUAUUCUCAAAUCAUAUUAGGUUUGAUUGCAAUAAUUCAGGUAGUUUGAAUCACAAACUUCAAUAAUUCUAGUUUUGAUGAUCAAAUAUCAGCAACCUUGUAGUUCGAGAACGAUUCGUCAAAUUUGGCCUAUGAUUUAUGUGUGCAAAUGGAGCAAUAUUGCUCGUUUAGUUUUAUUUUUUAUUUGUAGAGACAUGAUUUUUGAUGUUUAUAAUGGUUGCACAGAAUUGCGCCAAGUGAUUGAAAAAAUCUGAUAUGAAGCUGUUUGUCCAAUUUAGACUAUGAUUUAUAUGAGCAAAUGGAGCAAUCUUGCUUGUUUUAAUUUAAUAUUAGUUUGUAGAAACAUGAUUUUUAAUGUUUAUAGUGGUUUCACGGCAUUGCGCCUAGUGAUUGAAAAAUCAGAUAUGAUGAUGUGCUUAAACAUAAUAUAUAUUAGAUUUAGUAUACGUCACAAAUAUAUCUUUCACCGGUUGUGUACUUCUAUAUCUUCUAUAAAGGUUCCUUGUGGUUCUGCAAGUGUUCGUUGCUUGAUUAUUGCUAAACCUUCCAAAAAAAUGAUUUAGUGUUCUUGGUCAUUUUCUACUAGAUCAUUUUUCUUGGUAGCAUGGUAUCAGAGCUAACCCAAAUCCCCCUCCAUUCCAAGAGGUCCUGAGUUUGAUUCUUUUAUCCGCCACUUUAUGGCAUAUAUUUCCGUCCUUUAUUCCAUUGUAUUUUCCAUUAUCUCAGACCUUUUGGCAUGGUUCAUUUGAUACUCACCGUGCACGCGAGUGAGGAGUGUUAAGACAAAUCCUAGGCCGUUUCCUAGUCGAUCAAUUUUUUUGUUAACACCUAUCAGAUAUGUCUGCAGCACCUGCAUGAAGCUUGUGCCCUUCCCCAGGUGUGGGUUGAGGGACUUCAAGAAGGCCAGAGCCUGCCCGUCGCUCACGUCGCUAAAUAUCUUCUUCAAUC